rnacentral:rRNA from 1 species
GGUUAAGCGACUAAGCGUACACGGUGGAUGCCCUGGCAGUCAGAGGCGAUGAAGGGCGUGCUAAUCUGCGAUAAGCGCCGGUAAGGUGAUAUGAACCGUUAUAACCGGCGAUACCCGAAUGGGGAAACCCAGUGUGAUUCGUCACACUAUCAUUAACUGAAUCCAUAGGUUAAUGAGGCGAACCGGGGGAACUGAAACAUCUAAGUACCCCGAGGAAAAGAAAUCAACCGAGAUUCCCCCAGUAGCGGCGAGCGAACGGGGAGGAGCCCAGAGCCUGAAUCAGCAUGUGUGUUAGUGGAAGCGUCUGGAAAGGCGCGCGAUACAGGGUGACAGCCCCGUACACAAAAGCGCAUGUGCUGUGAGCUCGAUGAGUAGGGCGGGACACGUGGUAUCCUGUCUGAAUAUGGGGGGACCAUCCUCCAAGGCUAAAUACUCCUGACUGACCGAUAGUGAACCAGUACCGUGAGGGAAAGGCGAAAAGAACCCCGGCGAGGGGAGUGAAAAAGAACCUGAAACCGUGUACGUACAAGCAGUGGGAGCACCCUUCGGGGUGUGACUGCGUACCUUUUGUAUAAUGGGUCAGCGACUUAUAUUCUGUAGCA